AAUUUUUAGAAAUAGUAACUAGAAUUUUUUUAUUGUUAUUUUUUUUUUUUAAGCCGAAAAAAAGAGAUGAUCAUUCGAAGCCCACAAACAGUGACGAUAUUGCAUAAGAAUGAAUCCUUAAGCAAAGAUUAUUUGAAACUUUGGUGACACAAAAACCUAAAAACACGGGCCCCACAUAAUUAUUUUAUUAAUUUUUGAACAGUUAA
rnacentral:lncRNA from 1 species